rnacentral:lncRNA from 10 species
ACGUGUUCAUCCCAACACAGACUGCUUACUUGACCCAGAUGGCAUCCCAGAUGUCCAGGAGGGAGAGGCCCUUGGUUAACUACAUAACCCAGGUUGGAGGCCCUAGAGGAUGGGUUUGUGGGUUUGUCGGUGGGUCAUGGGAACCAAGAUUCCCAUAGGGCUCAGAUGGCCUCUGCCCAGGGCAAGAGUGCCAAGUGGAAGAACAGGUACCCUUUGGGCUGGGCGCUGUGGUAACAUUCAUGGGUGGGCCUCCAUUAGGUGGGCCUGGUGGGUGCAGGGGAGCAAUCACCCUCUUCACACUGAACUUAGAGGACCUUAGAAGACAAUGGCGCUUCUCUACUGGCGCUGCCCAGGCAAUCACCAGGGCACUUUUUUUUUUUUUUUUGAGACGGAGUC